AGCUUUGCGCAGUGGCAGUAUCGUAGCCAAUGAGGUUUAUCCGAGGCGCGAUUAUUGCUAAUUGAAAAAAACGCAUGAAAUAUGUUGUCACAUUGUAAUAUUGAGAAUUAUUUUAGAACCAAGUAUAAAUUA
rnacentral:snRNA from 1 species